rnacentral:rRNA from 1 species
UUCCUACGGGACGCAGCAGUGGGGAAUAUUGGGCAAUGGGCGCAAGCCUUACCCAGCAAUACCGCGUGAGUGAAGAAGGUCUUCGGAUUGUAAAGCUCUUUGAUCAGGGACGAACAGAUGACGGUACCUGAAGAACAAGCCCCGGCUAACUACGUGCCAGCAGCCGCGGUAAAACGUAGGGGGCGAGCGUUAAUCGGAAUUACUGGGCGUAAAGCGCUCGUAGGCGGUAUGUCAAGUCAAGGGUGAAAUCCCCGCGCUCAACGCGGGAACUGCCUUUGAAACUGGCAGA